UUUAUACUGCAGGUCACACUAACUGCUGUUAUUGCCUAAUUUUAAUAAUUUAGUCCAGUUUAACACAUAGGGUGUUCUAAAAACUGGAGAUUGUUACACCACGAGACAGCACUAAAAAAUACUCUGUAGAUUAAAUGACACAAAAUACCAAGUGGUAUCCUAUCUCCAAUCAUACAAUCUUUCACACCAACAUGAAUUACACCACAAACGAAGACAUACAACACAAACACAACACAUCUGGCCAGUUUUAUAGUCAGUCCAAGUGUCAGUCAGUCCCCAUUAUUUCAUCAAAGUUUUACUGUAAUUUCAUCAAAUUUACUGAAGCUUCAGAAAUUGUCCAAUGUUUUAUUAACAUAAUUUCACGUGUCAAUUUAAUUUAUUUUAAACUCUAGUCUUCAGGAACCUGUUGUAAAUAUCGUGCACGUUCACAAAGAGACAUGUCAAAAUUGUUCAGCAAUGAGUAAUUUCCCGCUAUCUGGUACCAGUAUUUUACUUAACCCUUAAUUUAAAACCAAAACACCACGUGUUUUCUGUACUUCACUUUUCAAAACACCACGCAGCAAAAUCAAUGCAAAUUCACACAAACUGCUCCCUCUUUUUUAAAACACAGCGUUCCGCUCAGAGCGAUCACACAGAUACACACGCAGAUACAAACAGCCCCGUGCCGCGGCAACAAGCACACAAAUCACCACACA